rnacentral:tRNA from 3 species
AGCGGGGUAGGGUAGCCAGGUCUAUCCCGCCGGGCUCAUAACCCGGAGAUCGGUGGUUCAAAUCCACCCCCCGCUA